UACGGGGGGGGCUAGCGUUGUUCGGAAUUACUGGGCGUAAAGGGCGCGUAGGCGGUCUGCUAAGUUGGAUGUGAAAACUCUGGGCUUAACCCAGAGCCUGCAUUCAAUACUGACAGGCUAGAGUUCUGGAGGGGAUAGCGGAAUUCCUGGUGUAGCGGUGAAAUGCGUAGAUAUCAGGAGGAACACCGGUGACGAAGGCGGCUAUCUGGACAGAGUCUGACGCUGAGGCGCGAAAGCUAGGGGAGCAAACAGG
rnacentral:rRNA from 1 species